CGAAAGCCUGACGGAGCAAGACCGCGUGAGGGAGGAAGGCUCUUGGGCUGUCAACCACUUUUCUCAGGGAAGAAGUUCUGACGGUACCUGAGGAAUCAGCCUCGGCUAACUCCGUGCCAGCAGCCGCGGUAAGACGGAGGAUGCAAGCGUUAUUCGGAAUUAUUGGGCGUAAAGCGUCCGCAGGGGGCUCAUCAAGUCUGCUGUCAAAGCACGGGGCUUAACUCCGUUAAGGCAGUGGAAACUGAAUAGCUAGAGUGCCGUAGGGGUAGAGGGAAUUCCCGGUGUAGCGGUGAAAUGCGUAGAGAUCGGGAAGAACAUCGGUGGCGAAAGCGCUCUACUGGACGGCAACUGACACUCAGGGACGAAAGCUAGGGGAGCG
rnacentral:rRNA from 1 species